AUUGAACGCUGGCGGCAUGCUUUACACAUGCAAGUCGAACGGUAACAGGUUAAGCUGACGAGUGGCGAACGGGUGAGUAAUGCAUCGGAACGUGCCCGAUCGUGGGGGAUAACGCAGAGAAAGCUGCGCUAAUACCGCAUACGAUCUGAGGAUGAAAGCGGGGGACCGUAAGGCCUAGCGCGAUCGGAGCGGCCGAUGUCAGAUUAGGUAUUUGGUGGGGGAAAGGCUCGCCAAGCCGACGAUCUGUAGCUGGUCGGAGAGGACGACCAGCCACACUGGGCCUGAGACACGGCCCAGACUCCUACGGGAGGCAGCAGUGGGGAAUUUUGGACAAUGGGCGAAAGCCUGAUCCAGCAAUGCCGCGUGCAGGAAGAAGGCCUUCGGGUUGUAAACUGCUUUUGUACGGAGCGAAAAGGCUCUCUCUAAUACAGGGGGCUCAUGACGGUACCGUAAGAAUAAGCACCGGCUAACUACGUGCCAGCAGCCGCAGUAAUAC
rnacentral:rRNA from 1 species